AUGUUUUCCGCCAUUUUUUCCUCUCACAAUUCCACUUUUUCUCCUCUCACAUUUCUCAUUUUUUACCUGUUUUCAACCCUUUCCUCCCCUCACAUUUUCCCACCCUUUUCUCCCCUCAUAUUUCCCUUUCCCCCCUCACGUUUCCUGCUCUUUUCUCCCCUCACGUUUUCCUGCUCUUUUUCUCCCCUCACGUUUUCCCGCCCUUUUCUCCCCUCAUGUUUUCCGCCAUUUUUUCCUCUCACAAUUCCACUUUUUCUCCUCUCACAUUUCUCAUUUUUUACCUGUUUUCAUCCCUUUCCUCCCCUCACGUUUUCCUGCUCUUUUUUCUCCCCUCACAUUUUCCGCCAUUUUCUCCCCUACGUUUUCCCGCCCUUUUCUCUCCUCACGUUUUCCGCCAUUUUUUCCUCUCACAAUUCCACCUUUACUCCUCUCACGUUUCUCAUUUUUUACCUGUUUUCUACCCUUUCCUCCCCUCACGUUUUCCCGCUCUUUUUCUCCCCUCACGUUUUCCCGCUCUUUUUCUCCCCUCACGUUUUCCCACUCUUUUCUCCCCUCACAUUUUCCGCCAUUUUCUCCCCUCACGUUUUCCCGCCCUUUUCUCCCCUCAUGUUUUCCGCCAUUUUUUCCUCUCACAAUUCCACUUUUUCUCCUCUCACAUUUCUCAUUUUUUACCUGUUUUCAUCCCUUUCCUCCCCUCACGUUUUCCCGCUCUUUUUCUCCCCUCACGUUUUCCCGCUCUUUUUCUCCCCUCACGUUUCCCGCCCUUUUCUCUCCUCACGUUUUCUGCCAUUUUUUCCUCUCAUAUUUCCCUUUCCCCCCUCACGUUUCCUGCUCUUUUCUCCCCUCACGUUUUCCCGCUCUUUUUCUCCCCUCACGUUUCCCGCUCUUUUUCUCCCCUCACGUUUUCCCGCUCUUUUUCUCCCCUCACGUUUUCCCGCCCUUUUCUCCCCUCAUGUUUUCCGCCAUUUUUUCCUCUCACAAUUCCACUUUUACUCCUCUCACAUUUCUCAUUUUUUACCUGUUUUCAUCCCUUUCCUCCCCUCACGUUUUCCCGCUCUUUUUCUCCCCUCACGUUUUCCCGCUCUUUUUCUCCCCUCACGUUUUCCCACUCUUUUCUCCCCUCACAUUUUCCGCCAUUUUCUCCCCUCACGUUUUCCCGCCCUUUUUUCCCCUCAUGUUUUCCGCCAUUUUUUCCUCUCACAAUUCCACUUUUUCUCCUCUCACAUUUCUCAUUUUUUACCUGUUUUCAACCCUUUUCUCCCCUCACGUUUCCCACCCUUUUCUCCCCUCACGUUCCCCAUUUUCUCCCCUCACGUUUCUCAUUUUUUACCUGUUUUCAACCUUUUUCUUCCCUCAUGUUUCACACUCUUUCCUCCCCUCACGUUUCCCGCCCUUUUCUCCCCUCACAUUUUCUCCCCUCACAUCCUUGAGACACAAAACUUUCCCAAAAAACACUUUCCCUUGGGAACCACCUCUGGACAGGCUGGAAACUCCCUCAGGCUCAGAAAAUCACGGCUCCCCAUGGGAAGCACCAGGCCACAGCACUGCAGGGAAUCCGGAACAUUCCAAGCGCCACAUCCUGCCCCUGCCAGCGGCCUUGCUCACCGUUUCGGCACCCUCCGACAGCGUCACCAGGGCCCUGAGCACCAGAGGAACCAUCUCCAUCCUUGA
ensembl:lncRNA